GGUUCGGUGGCGUAGUUGGUUAUCGCAUCUGUCUAACAUUAUUUGCUUCAUCAACCUGAAGUUCCACAGAAGGUCCCCAGUUCGAGCCUGGGUCGAAUCA